AUUAGUAGAGAAGCGUGUGAGCCAGCUGCCAAGAAAAGCCGCUAUUGUUUCAUAAGUACCCGUACCGUAAACCGACACAGGUGGAUGAGGAGAGAAUCCUAAGGCCGGCGGGAGAAGUGUUGUUAAGGAACUCGGCAAAAUGACUCCGUAACUUCGGGAGAAGGAGUGCCACAGAGAUGUGGCCGCAGAGAAAUGGCCCAAGCAACUGUUUAGCAAAAACACAGGUCUAUGCAAAACCGAAAGGUGAGGUAUAUGGGCUGACGCCUGCCCGGUGCUGGAAGGUUAAGAGGAGAGGUUAGAGCAAUCGAAGCUUUGAAUUUAAGCCCCAGUAAACGGCGGCCGUAACAACAACGGUCCUAAGGUAGCGAAAUUCCUUGUCGGGUAAGUUCCGACCCGCACGAAAGGCGUAAUGAUUUGGGCACUGUCUCAACAACACACCCGGUGAAAUUGAAAUACCAGUGAAGAUGCUGGUUACCUGCGCCAGGACGGAAAGACCCCAUGGAGCUUUACUCCAGUUUGAUACUGGGAUUCGGUACUGUCUGUACAGGAUAGGUGGGAGGCUAGGAAAUGGUGACGCCAGUUGCCAUGGAGCCAACCUUGGGAUACCACCCUUACAGUACUGGGUUUCUAACCUGCAGCCGUAACCCGGCUGGGGGACAAUGUCUGACGGGGAGUUUGACUGGGGCGGUCGCCUCCGAAAGAGUAUCGGAGGCGCUCAAAGGUUCCCUCAGAACGGUUGGAAACCGUUCGAAGAGUGCAAAGGCAGAAGGGAGCUUGACUGCGACACCGACGGGUGGAGCAGAUACGAAAGUAGGACUUAGUGAUCCGGUGGUAUAAAGUGGGAUUGCCAUCGCUCAACGGAUAAAAGCUACCCUGGGAUAACAGGCUUAUCACUCCCAAGAGUUCACAUCGACGGAGUGGUUUGGCACCUGGAUGUCGGCUCAUCGCAUCCUGGAGCUGUAGCAGGUUCCAAGGGUUGGGCUGUUCGCCCAUUAAAGCGGUACGCGAGCUGGGUUCAGAACGUCGUGAGACAGUUCGGUCCCUAUCCGGCGUGGGCGUAGGAUAUUUGAGAGGAGCUGUCCUUAGUACGAGAGGACCGGGAUGGACAAACCUCUGGUGUAUCUGUUGUUUUACCAAAGGCAUGGCAGAGUAGCCAAGUUUGGCAGGGAUAAACGCUGAAGGCAUCUAAGCGUGAAGCCCCCCUCAAGAUAAGAUAUCCCAUCUUCGGAGUAAGACCCCUUGAAGACUACAAGGUUGAUAGGCUUCAGGUGUAAGCGCGGUAACGCACUCAGCUGAGAAGUACUAAUAGGUCGAGGACUUACC
rnacentral:rRNA from 1 species